AUUGAACGCUGGCGGCAGGCUUAACACAUGCAAGUCGAGCGGGGUGAUGGUGCUUGCACUAUCACUUAGCGGCGGACGGGUGAGUAAAGCUUAGGAAUCUGCCUAUUAGUGGGGGACAACAUCUCGAAAGGGAUGCUAAUACCGCAUACGUCCUACGGGAGAAAGCAGGGGAUCACUUGUGACCUUGCGCUAAUAGAUGAGCCUAAGUCGGAUUAGCUAGUUGGUGGGGUAAAGGCCUACCAAGGGGACGAUCCGUAGCGGGUCUGAGAGGAUGAUCCGCCACACUGGGACUGAGACACGGCCCAGACUCCUACGGGAGGCAGCAGUGGGGAAUAUUGGACAAUGGGGGGAACCCUGAUCCAGCCAUGCCGCGUGUGUGAAGAAGGCCUUAUGGUUGUAAAGCACUUUAAGCGAGGAGGAGGCUCUUUUGGUUAAUACCCAAGAUGAGUGGACGUUACUCGCAGAAUAAGCACCGGCUAACUCUGUGCCAGCCGCCGCCGUAAUAC
rnacentral:rRNA from 1 species